GGCUGGAUAGUGUAGUGGUAAACACACUCCGUAUCCUUUCACCCCAGUGUUUGAUUUAUGGAGAGAUCCGAAGUUUGAUCCUCUGUCGAGCCC